AGAACAGCCAGAGCAGAGAUCCACCUGCCUCUGCCUCCUGAGUGCUGGGAUUAAAGGCGUGCGCCAGUAUGCCUGGCCAGACUUCUACUCUUGAAACUUCUCUGACUCUCAAAUUUUUGGCGGGACAGUAACUACCUGGACUAGGCACCAAUCCCAUGAAGAUCUCUAAUCCCACAGACUGGCUCUACUUACCUGGCCUGUACACAGUCCCACUACGAGGUCAGCGAUGAACGUGUCCUCAGUUUCUCCAGAGCGAUGACUCACCAUUACCCCCCAGCCAUUCUCCUGGGCCAGCUUGCACCUGCAGUGUACACCAGCACUGACCUGCCCCGAAGCACCGAAGCACAGCUAUUCCCUCCCAGCCCCGGGCUUGAUCUACAUCAGAAAGCACCUGGAGGAAGGUGACUAAGGGACAUGAGGGCAAAUCAUGAAGUAUAGAGAGACUAGAAGUGAGAUGAAGGGUUCUCCAGGAUUCCAAGGCAGAAUCCAGGUAGGAGGGCUCGCCAGAGAAGUCCUGAAUGAACGAGGACCAGGUGGGAGGAGGCCAAAAGCCACUCACGCUUGGAUGGCUUCUGUGACUGAGCCGAUCUGAUUGACCUUGAGCAGCAAGCAGUUGCAGGCCUUCUCCUCCACUGCCCGCUCGAUGCGCUUGGGAUUGGUCACCGUCAGGUCAUCGCCCACUAUCUGGAUGCCAACGUUGGCUGUGAACUUGGACCAAGCUGCCCAGUCAUCCUGGUCAAAUGGGUCUUCAAUGGAGACCACUGCAGAGGGAGUGGACAGGAGCUGGUUCUUCCCAGAGAAGCCUGCUCUGAUGGAAGCCAAUUGCCUCCGUGGAGUGGGACAGAGGCUCCUGAUGGAGAUUCUGUGCCUCAGUUAUCCCCCUCAGGCAGCCGCAGCAACUCCAUUCAGUAUCUACUUUCAUCAAUCAAAUAUACUAAAGCUGGGCACUUUUCUGUCACGUCCAUUCAUGUUUUUCCCAUCCUUGGCCCCUUCCAGAGCCCUCCCUAGGACCCAAGAAACUCUCAGAGCCCAGGGUCUGAAACAGACAGGGGAGUCCCACCCCAGCUUCAUGUGCAGUCACAUGACACUUUGAUGUCAUGUGACUGCGACGCUCUGCAAGAACCUACUGCCCCUUCUCCCUGCUUCUCAGCCUCCUCAGGACCUCACCUGCCCCAGACUCUGCACCCCAUAAAGUUCACCUUUGCCUAGCUCCAGUCUUUCCCUUUCCUAUCCCCCACAAUCCCUCACUCUCACCAGGAUAAUUCCGGACAAAGUCCUGGUAGAGUGCCCCCAGCUGGUCCCCAGUGAUGUAUCGGGAAGGAUCAGCGGGAGACUUGAAAUCCAAGUCGUAUUUGCCAUCGCGGUAAAACUCAGAGGCAGCCACAUCCAUGCCGAUCACCAUCUUUUCCGUGUAGCCAGCCUUGUCGAUGGCUUCCUUCACCAGCUCCAAGGCUAGAGACAAAUCCAGUGAAGUUACGGGGCUCCAAGCUCACAGCAAGCCUUGUACUUCAGCCUCCCGAGUGUUGGGGGUUCCAGCCCAUAAUGCUUCAGAGUGCAAAGAAAUGCAAGUAAUCUGAUU